GCAAGUCGAGCGGUAACAGGAAGUAGCUUGCUACUUCGCUGACGAGUGGCGGACGGGUGAGUAAUGCUUGGGAAUUUGCCGAAAGGUGGGGGACAACAGUUGGAAACGACUGCUAAUACCGCAUAAUGUCUACGGACCAAAGGUGGCCUCUAUUUAUAUGCUAUCGCUUUUCGAUGAGCCCAAGUGGGAUUAGCUAGUUGGUAAGGUAAUGGCUUACCAAGGCGACGAUCCCUAGCUGGUCUGAGAGGAUGAUC
rnacentral:rRNA from 1 species